UUUUCCCUACGGGGGGCAGCAGUGGGGAAUAUUGCACAAUGGGGGAAACCCUGAUGCAGCAACGCCGCGUGAGUGAAGGAGUAUUUCGGUAUGUAGAGCUCUAUCAGUAGGGAAGAAGAAAGACGGUACCUGACUAAGAAGCCCCGGCUAACUACGUGCCAGCAGCCGCGGUAAUACGUAGGGGGCAAGCGUUAUCCGGAUUUACUGGGUGUAAAGGGAGCGUAGACGGCUGUGCAAGUCUGGAGUGAAAGCCCGUGGCUCA
rnacentral:rRNA from 1 species